AGAGUUUAACCGUGUUCUCUUCAACUUUGGAGGAGCUCCUUUUCAGCCACACUCAGAGACAGCCAUGAUAUACUUAACGUGAUAAAAGAAAAAAAAACCUCCAACCAAGAUUACUCUACCCAGCAAGGCUCUCAUUCAGAUUUGAAGGAGAAAUCAAAACCUUCACAGAUAAGCAAAAGCUGAGAGAAUUCAGCAACACUAAACCAGCCUUACAACAAAUACUAAAGGAACUUCUCUAGGCAGAAAAGAAAAGACAGCAACAGGAAACAAAAAUUCCACAAAUGACAAGGCUCACCAGUAAAGGUAUGUAUACAGUAAAGAUAUGAAAUCAUCCAUGCACAAUUAUACCACCAAAAUCAGAAUUCAUGAGAAGAGGUGGGUACAAAUGCAGGACACUGGAGAUGCACUUGCAAUUAAGAGAACAACAACUUAAAACAAUCUCAUAUACAUAUAGACUCUUAUAUCAAAACUUCAGAAUAACUGCAAUCUAAAAAUCUACAAUUGAUAUACAAACAAGGAAUCUCUGAAGAAGAAAUAUAUCUCAUAGUAAAUAAGUGCAUAAUCCACCAUGAAAGGGGUCAUUUGACAUCAUUCUUGGAAUGCUGAAAUCUUCUUAGAUCUGAUUCUGAUUUCCUCUCCAUCAAGAAUUUAUGAUAAUUAUAAUUAAAUAGUGCAACUGUACAAUAAAUAAAUAAAUAAAUAAAUAAAUAAAUAAAUAAAAAGGCAGCAUGAUAUUUUCACUAUUUCUUGAAGGAGCUCCUUUUCAGCCACACUCAGAGACAAAAGUAGUGGUGAUCCAAUCAGUUCUGCUGAGACGUAGACCAAUAAAUAAAUAAAAUUUUUGAAAAGGUUGAAAUGUGCAUAUACAUAAUUAUUAUAAACAAUGAACCUAGCCCUAAGUAUGUUAUACUUCUCAAUAUUAGUAAAUGAUAGUAUGAUUCCAGUUUAAUUUGCAAGGCAUUUAAAAACCAGCUUUCUACUGGAGACCAGACUUGUGGUUGCCAAAGAGAAAGGGUAGGGAGUGGGAUGGACUGGGAGUUUGGGGUUAGUAGAUGCAACCUAUUAUAUUUAGAAUAGAUAAGGAAUGAGGUCCUGCUGUAUAGCACAGGGAACUAUAUCCAGUCACUUUGCAUAAAACAUGAUGAAAGAUAAUAUGGAGAGAAGAAUGUAUAUAUAUGUAUGGCUAGGUCACUUUGCUACACAGCAGAAAUCAGCACAACAUUGUAAAUCAACUAUACUUUAAUAAAAACAUAUGGAGAAAAAACCAACUGUCUAGACAUCAAUAAAAAUCUCUGUGAUUUGAGGAGAAAAAGUUUAGUGUACCAUUAACAAAAGUAGUGUUAAAUUUUAUAUUUAAAGUAUUGUGUUUCUGCUCACUGUUUUCUGUUUGUAGACUGCAUAUCUUUUAUACUAUGCAUAAUAUAUUAAAACAGAUUGAUGCAUAUAUAAUUUAUAAAUUUAAAAUUAUACCUAUAAAAGAUGCUGCUCAUAUAGCUUUUACUCAUGGGAUAAUUGACCCAAAAGUGUGGAGACCACUGCUCUAUCAGAUUCUCAGGAUUCUUCCCAGGACAUUUCUUCUCCCACAUUUCAGUCAAGACAAGAUCCAGAGUCUCAAUGACAACAAGCACAUGGAGAUAAGUUGGAUGGCUCUGGAACACAAGGAGAAAGGCAAACUACAGAGCUAAAUCAGUGUCAUGAGACAUGUAACUUAAGUAUAAUGCAAGGAUCCUCAUCACCUUGGAUUGUUUAAACAAAUUUUUAAAUACAAAAUUUUUAAAUGUUUAGAAGUGAAAUUUGAAAGGUGUCUAAAACCAUUCAUAAUAGAUUACGUUCAUUUUUUAACUAAUUUUUGUUAUGAUUAUUAAAAAGUCUGUGUUCACAUUUCCAGUGGGCAUGGAUUUGUCCAACAUCUCUGAAAGCAUCCAUACCACCUGUUUACUGAGAAUGUGGGAAGACUAUGAGUAUAUGUGGGGAUAAGAAAAGGAAGAGAUGGGGGUCCAAGACAUGAAACACUUUUCAUAAAAAAUCUAAACAAAAUCACUGUUUUGAAAGUAAUGUGUCUUUCUGUGAUGUUAUCUGAGCUUGUAAAAUUUAAUACCUGCUGAUAAUAAAAGGUGUUCCUAGAUCUAAUGAUGAAC
rnacentral:lncRNA from 1 species